CUUAAAUAUUUAAAGCUAAAUUAGUAAAAGAUAAAUACUUAAAAUUUAAAAAAUUUGGCGGCAAUUUAAUCUUUUCGGAGGAACCUGUUUUGUAAUCGAUAAACCACGUAAAAUCUUACUUGAUUUUGUUAAUUUCAGUUUGUAUACCAUCAUUAUCAGAUAAUUCUUAAAGGAAAAAUUAUCAAAUUUAAUUAUUUAAAAAAAUUAGAUCAAGGUGCAGUUUAUAAUCAAGGUAAAAUGGGUUACAAUAAAUUAUUUUAUUGCAAUUAACUGAUAUAAUA
rnacentral:rRNA from 1 species